rnacentral:rRNA from 1 species
UGGGGAAUUUUGCACAAUGGGGGAAACCCUGAUGCAGCGACGCCGCGUGAUUUAGAAGGCCUUCGGGUUGUAAAAAUCUUUUUUACGGGAUGAAAAUGACAGUACCGUAAGAAUAAGGUCCGGCUAAAUACGUGCCAGCAGCCGCGGUAAUACGUAUGGACCGAGCGUUGUCCGGAAUCAUUGGGCGUAAAGGGUACGUAGGCGGCCUAGUAAGUUAGAAGUUAAAGAAUAUAGCUCAACUAUAGUAAGCUUUUAAAACUGCUCAUCUUGAGGUAUGGAAGGGAAAGUGGAAUUCCUAGUGUAGCGGUGAAAUGCGCAGAUAUUAGGAGGAAUACCGGUGGCGAAGGCGACUUUCUGGCCAUAACCUGACGCUGAGGUACGAAAGCGUGGGUAGCAAACAGG